GAUGAUGAUUGGAACCAAGAGGAGGAAGUACGUAAGUUUCCAUCUAUUCAUAUGGAUGUUAUCCUCGAUGUACUGUGACCAAAUAUCUGCCGCUAAAACCCACCAAAGAAUUAGCAAGAAAAUUGAUGGUGGGAGCUAGCAAUGCCGGCAGUGCCUCCUUUAGGAUUACAAAAUCGUUAAUCCUAUCUUCGCUUGCAUGUGACUGAUGGUGAUGCUACACAAGUUCUGAAGGCAGUGCCCUCCCCUUCAGCAGGAGAUCUUGCUGGUUCUGCAUGGCACAACUGGAUUAAAUAUGCUACAGCAAGCGAAGGAGUUCAACGAUGUUGUUGGAAUCAAAGGAUUCAUCCUAACGAAAUUAGACAGGACUGCUCGUGUUGGCUGUGUGGUGAGUGUUAAUAGACGAACUUGGAGUUCCAGCCAAGUUUGUUGGCGUCGGCAAAGGGGUGAAGAUCUCCAACCUUUUGAUGCAGAAGCAUUUGUUGAAGCCAUUUUCCCAUAAAUUUGACCCAGUUAUUAGCGUUUCUCAUGUAACAAGAUUUUGGCUAACAUGCUACUCCCUCCGUUUCUAAAUAUAUGUCUUUUUAGGAAUUCUAAUAUGGACUACAUAAGAAGAAAAAUGAGUGAAUCUAGACUCUAGAAUAUGUCUACAUUCAUCCGCAUGUAGUCCAUAUUCAAAUCACUAAAAAGACCUAUAUUUAGGAAUGGAGGGAGUAG